rnacentral:rRNA from 1 species
GACGUAGGAUGCAAGCGUUACUCGGAAUCACUGGGCGUAAAGCGUCUGUAGGCGGUUUGGUAAGUCUGCGGUAAAAGGUGUGAGCUCAACUCGCAUUAUGUCGCGGAAACUGCCUUACUGGAGCAACCAAGAGGCACCUGGAAUGCCGUGUGUAGGGGUAAUAUCCGUUGAUACACGGUAGAACGCUAAAAGCGAAGGCAGGGUGCUGGUGGUUCGCUGACGCUGAGAGACGAAAGCGUGGGGAGCGAACGGG